UGGGGAAUUGUUCGCAAUGGGCGCAAGCCUGACGACGCAACGCCGCGUGGAGGAUGAAGGUCUUCGGAUCGUAAACUCCUGUUGCCCGGGACGAAUGGCUUCGACCUAAUACGUCGGAGUAUGACGGUACCGGGUGAGGAAGCCCCGGCUAACUCUGUGCCAGCAGCCGCGGUAAUACAGAGGGGGCAAGCGUUGUUCGGAAUUACUGGGCGUAAAGGGCGCGUAGGCGGCCUGUUAAGUCGAACGUGAAAUCCCUGGGCUCAACCCAGGAACUGCGUCCGAUACUGGCUGGCUUGAAUCCGGGAGAGGGAUGCGGAAUUCCAGGUGUAGCGGUGAAAUGCGUAGAUAUCUGGAGGAACACCGGUGGCGAAGGCGGCAUCCUGGACCGGUAUUGACGCUGAGGCGCGAAAGCCAGGGGAGCAAACGGGAUUAGAUACCCGGGUAGUCCCUGAGCGGGCUGGCAAGGCGCAU
rnacentral:rRNA from 1 species